rnacentral:rRNA from 2 species
UUGGUUAUGCUGAUAAGAGCGUAUGGUGGAUGCCUUGGCACUAAGAGCCGAUGAAAGACGUGAUAAGCUGCGAAAAGCUUCGGGGAGGAGCAAAUAUCCUUUGAUCCGGAGAUUUCUGAAUGGGGAAACCUACUUGAGCAAACCUCAAGUAUCCUUAAGCCAAUACAUAACUUAAGGAAGGGAACCCGGUGAACUGAAACAUCUAAGUAGCCGGAGGAAGAGAAAACAACAUGUGAUUCUGUGAGUAGCGGCGAGCGAAAACGGAAGAGCCCAAACCAGCGUGCGUGCAUGCUGGGGUUCGGACCGCGGAAUUGAUUCAACAAGUUUAGCAGAACGGUUUUGGGAAAGCCGGCCAGAGAGGGUGAAAGCCCCGUAAGCGAAAGACGAGUUGACAUGGCGGGAUCCAGAGUACCACGAGACACGUGGAACCUUGUGGGAAGAUGCGGGGACCACCCCGUAAGGCUAAAUACUACUUAGUGACCGAUAGCGCAUAGUACUGUGAAGGAAAGGUGAAAAGGACCCCGGGAGGGGAGUGAAAAAGAACCUGAAACCAUAUGUUUACAAGCUGUGGAAGAGCUUUAUAUGCUCAACCGCGUACUUUUUGUAGAACGGUCCGGCGAGUUACGCUGGCUGGCGAGGUUAAGGACUGAAGGUCCGGAGCCGAAGGGAAACCAAGUCUGAAUAGGGCGCAUAGUCAGUCGGAGUAGACCCGAAACCGGGUGAUCUAUCCAUGUCCAGGUUGAAGUUGCCGUAAAAGGCAAUGGAGGACCGAACCCACAUCCGUUGAAAAGGGUGGGGAUGAGGUGUGGAUAGGGGAGAAAUUCCAAUCGAACCCGGAGAUAGCUGGUUCUCCUCGAAAUAGCUUUAGGGCUAGCCUCAUACGAGUCUUGCGGAGGUAGAGCACUGAAUUCCUAAGGGGGCGUCAAAGCUUACUAAGGGAUAUCAAACUCCGAAUGCCGUGUAGAUGAUGUAUGGGAGUCAGACGAUCCGAGAUAAGUUGGGUGGUCAAAAGGGAAAGAGCCCAGACCAACAGCUAAGGCCCCAAAAUGUGUGUUAAGUGGAAAAGGAUGUGGGAUUUCGAAGACAACUAGGAUGUUGGCUCAGAAGCAGCCAUUCAUUCAAAGAGUGCGUAAUAGCUCACUAGUCGAGAGGUCCUGCGCCGAAAAUGUCCGGGGCUAAAACACACUGCCGAAGCUUUGGAAUUGAAUUAAUUCAAUUGGUAGAGGAGCAUUCUUAAAGGGACGAAGCAGUACCGUAAGGAGCUGUGGACUUUUAAGAAGAGAGAAUGCCGGAAUGAGUAGCGAGAGGAAGGUGGGAAUCCUUCCGGCCGAAUAUCUAAGGUUUCCAGAGUAAAGCUGAUCUGCUCUGGGUAAGUCGGGGCCUAAGGCGAGGUCGAAAGACGUAGUCGAUGGAUAACAGGUUGAAAUUCCUGUACUAUCCUGUAACAGAACUGUGGGGACACAGGCAGAGAGCGUGAGCCGGGAAUGGAAAGACCGGUACAAGCGAGGUAGGAGAAGAGUUGGCAAAUCCGCUCUUUAAUCUGAAGACGUGAUGUGGACUGAAAAUAAGUAGGGAAGCACGUGAGCUGACUGUCAAGAAAA